AAUACCUGUAGGAUACCGAACUUCUAAAAUUAUGAAGUUACGGUGGGAUGUAAUAUGCGGAUUUUAAUGUAAAAAGGGAAAUAAAUAAAAAUAGUAUGAGAUACUAUUUUUAUUAGAUUUAGAGAAGUGAAAUAUAAGUUUGGAAUGACCCGUGUUGAAAUCAGAGCGAAAACAGAAGAUUUAGAUUUUCUGUGAGAAACGGGGCAGAUAAAUUAGCAGAAAAUGCACAGUCUCAGAAAAUUAUGAAAACUAGCGGGGAUGCCAGAAAUAUUUUAAUGAGGCUAGAUUUAGAGUUUCAUAUUUUUCUGACACCCGUAGAGUGAGAACUAAAAUCCGACAGUUAUCUGAUAAAGAUUACAGUUCGGUACAGCUUUCGGUGACCAAACGGGGUCGAAACUGAAAGAUUAAAAUUUCUUUCGUUAAGUUAAGCAAAACCGAAUAUGACUGUCAAAUUUGAGCUCAAACGGAUAUUCAGGGAGUUCCGGCGAAAGAUAUCAGAUUUGGAGCUGCCUGAUGUGAAUAGUGUAUGCUACUAUUGAGGGUUGACUAUAAGUAGAAGCUUCUAGUGACUUGGCUUCUUCUUCACAGCCAAGCACCACCCCCACAAGAGCACGUUCAUGGUGUAGUGAGAGAAACCCUCUCUUUCUCUCUCUAAAUAUCUCUCUCAUCUCUCUAGAUCUUUCGCCCAAAUUCGCGGCGUUGGUGGAGAUCGAGCUUGCGAACGCGUUGGGAGCGACGGAUCGAGUUUUCGUGCGCCCGUUGGAUUGGCGUGCUUUCGUCUCGGCGUUCAUAUUUUGGUAAGCUAUCGGGAUUUGGCUUAAUCCUUAAGUUUAAGUGUUCUAAUAGCCUCUAAUGUGAAGUUAGCUUGUUAAAUCCUUAAUAUUUGGAUUGUUUGGAGCAUAUGUUGAGGCUAAGGUGUGAAAAUGGGGGUUUACAAAUUAGGUGGGGUUUGAUCUAAUUUGACCCUUCGUAAACCUAAUUGCUAGGUAAACGAACGCGUUGGUGAAGUCGGUUCGGCGAUUCGUCGAGCCUACGCGAAGUUAUUAAAGAAACAGACGUUUAGGCUUCGUUUCCGCCUGGAGGGCCGAGGCGACGUCGUAAAAU
rnacentral:lncRNA from 1 species